rnacentral:tRNA from 1 species
GGGUCAUUAGCUCAACGGUAGAGCAGCUGCCUCUUAAGCAGUUGGUUGAUGGUUCGAAUCCAUCAUGACCCA